CGGACGGGUGAGUAACGCGUAGGAACCUGUCGUUCAGUGGGGGAUAACGCUGGGAAACCGGCGCUAAUACCGCAUGUGGUCGGCAACGAAGAAAGCAGCAAUGCGCUGAAUGAGGGGCCUGCGUCCGAUUAGCUUGUUGGUGGGGUAACGGCCUACCAAGGCGACGAUCGGUAGCUGGUCUGAGAGGAUGGUCAGCCACACUGGGACUGAGACACGGCCCAG
rnacentral:rRNA from 1 species